rnacentral:piRNA from 1 species
UGUCUUGAUCUUCUCCAAAAU